rnacentral:rRNA from 1 species
UUGACGGGGCCCGCACAAGCGGUGGAGUAUGUGGUUUAAUUCGAUGCAACGCGAAGAACCUUACCUGGUCUUGACAUCCCGGAGACCCUUAGGAAACUAGGGGGUGCUUCCAUCUGGAAGAACCUGGAGACAGGUGCUGCAUGGCUGUCGUCAGCUCGUGUCGUGAGAUGUUGGGUUAAGUCCCGCAACGAGCGCAACCCUUGCCUUUAGUUGCCAGCAGUUCGGCUGGGCACUCUAAAGGGACUGCCGGUGUUAAACCGGAGGAAGGUGGGGAUGACGUCAAGUCCUCAUGGCCUUUAUGACCAGGGCUACACACGUACUACAAUGGCCGAUACAAAGGGCAGCGACACUGCGAGGUGAAGCCAAUCCCGUAAAAUCGGUCGCAGUUCGGAUUGAAGUCUGCAACUCGACUUCAUGAAGCUGGAAUCGCUAGUAAUCGUGGAUCAGCCAAGCCGCGGUGAAUACGUUCCCGGGCCUU